rnacentral:rRNA from 1 species
UACGGGGGGGGCAAGCGUUGUUCGGAAUUACUGGGCGUAAAGGGCUCGUAGGCGGCCAAUUAAGUCAAUCGUGAAAUCCCUCGGCUUAACCGGGGAACUGCGCUUGAUACUGGAUGGCUUGAGUUUGGGAGAGGGAUGCGGAAUUCCAGGUGUAGCGGUGAAAUGCGUAGAUAUCUGGAGGAACACCGGUGGCGAAGGCGGCAUCCUGGACCAACACUGACGCUGAGGCACGAAAGCGUGGGGAGCAAACAGG